CCCGUUCCCAUCCCGAACACGGUAGUUAAGCUUCUCUGCGCCAAUGGUAGUUGGGGGCUUCCCCCUGCGAGAGUAGGUCGCUGCCGGGC
rnacentral:rRNA from 3 species